rnacentral:lncRNA from 1 species
AUAAUGACUUGAUUCCUUUUCCAAUUAGGUGCAAUUCUCAAAUGAUGGAAACUAUUUAUAUACCGGAGGCCGAAAGGUUGAGCUCUCUUUAGAUGAACGGUAGUUGCUUGUUUAAUGCCCCUUUUGAGCAUGUGAUCCUCUAUAGUUCCUAUUUGUCCAUUUGACCUCUACAUGUAGAUGUUGUAGCUGCUUACUGUUUUGUGAAUUGAUUGCCUAUUGAACUCGGGUGUCUGUGAACAACAUGCUUGACAUAUAGUACCAUGCAUAGCCUGACUAUGUCAUUUGCAUUUUUCCAGAAACCUGUGGUUUCUUCCUUUUGGAAAUGGAGAUGAAGUCUCUUCGCAUAUGAAACUUAGUCAUUUACAUGUUUUCCCAUUAUUUCAAAAUGUAUUUGACUGUUCUUACCUAUUAAGAUGGUGGUUGAUUUUGUGUGGAAUGGUGGUUGAGUUUGUGGUGAUUUUUGUGUAUAAUGGUGAUUGACUUUGUGGUGAUUUUUUUGACCUUUUGGUGUCUAGUAUCUAGCUAAAGAUGCAUCUUAAUUAGUACUUUCUUGCUUACUCUAGUCAAUCUAAACUUGUUAUUUAAAUGGAAUCAUACCUAUAGAAACACAACUCAACACAAAAGAUCAUCAAAUUGUUUGUCAUAUAAAAGACCUUAUCUUCAGUUUGAAUGACUAGUUAGAAAUAUCCAUUUUUGCUUAGCUCCGUCCGUUACUCGUCCUCUUAAUUAGUUAGUCAUAUAUACAUAUACCACUUUUUUUAAAGAAUUUUAGCACAAAAAGUCCAUACAAACAGCCCAAACCAACAUAUAAAGGAUGAAGGUCAAGAAGGUUGGUGGUGCUUUUAACAACCACCGAUCUACAUCCUAAGUCCGAUAUCCAAGUCUUAAUCAAAGCAUAAUGCCUAGAAAGAAUGAUGAAGAUGAUGUGUGAAAUGUUAACGAUAUUGCAAACUAUCUACAGGUGUUUAGUGAUCUUUUGCCUACUUACUUUUCUCCAUUGGGGAUUAUCCUUUCUGCGUUGAUUAUUGCUAAUUAAUGUCAUGGGUUUCUUCUUCUUGCAAGGUGGCUGUGAUGACACUCUACUCCAGGCCUUGAGAAGAUGCAUGGUAGUGUUUUGUUUGGUGAGUUGAGUGUGAGUUUGGGUUGGGGGUUUUAGUGAGGGGUUGUGGAGUUAGAUAGCAAAAUUGAUGAUUGAUUUUUGGAAAGACUCGAACAAACUGGACUGAAGUUAGAUAGCAUUACUAGUUCUUGCUUGCUGAUUGAUUUUUGGAAAAUUUAUGUUUUCUGUUUGAGAACCAAUCUGUUUGCAAGUGUUUAAUUAUCCCAUCACUUUAACAUGGUAAGUUGAAAAACUUGCAUGCAAAAUGGUUUGCUUGAACAUAUGGCUACUGAACUUGCCCAUAUCGUAUACCGUUUUGCUUUGAUUUUGUUUUUAGUUUAUGUACCAUGCUUUUGUACUUGUUUGGUGUAUUGUACUCAUUUAUGUACUAAACUUUUGUAUGUACUAACUUGCCCAUUUUUACUGGCGUUUUGAUUUCAUGUACUUAAUUAACUACGUAAAUAUUUGCUUUAUGUACUAAUUUAUGGACUUGUGUGACUUUGUAUUCAACAUCGUACUUGAGUUUUUUGUUUUGUAUUGUACUAAAAUAUUUCUUGUAUUUGUUUUUAUUUUGAGUGAUGUUUUGAUUUGGUGUGCUCAAUUAAUUAUGUACUCGUUUUAUUUUAUUUUCAUACAUUUAUUUUUAUUUUGAGUGGNNNNNNNNNNNNNNNNNNNNNNNNNNNNNNNNNNNNNNNNNNNNNNNNNNNNNGUAUUCGAUUUUGUUUAGUAUAUUCAUUUUUUUACUUCCAUAUACUCGUUUUGAAAAAUGGAAAAAAAAUCAUCUGAGACAACGCAGCCGCACCACUGAAAGUGAAAACCGCCGCUGUAAAGGAAAAAAUCGGCAAACUCCACUGCUAGUCUGCAACACGAAGUCACAAAGAAGGAAUUUUAAAAAAAGGAAUAAUUAAAAUAAAAUCUCCAUAAACGUGAACAGAAAAAAGAAAUAUUAUUACAAUAAAUUAAUAAAUAGCAAGAAUCUCGGCUGUAACUGAUUUAGGAGAGAUUUAAGAUAAUAUAAAAUGAUUUUGAUAUAAUUUAUAUCUUAAAUAAAUAAAAUUCCUAAUUAAAACUAAUUUAAAUUAUUAAAUAAUUACCAAAACACAUCUAACGAUUCACGUAUUUUCAUAUCAGAUUUUUUGGGCUUUGAUUACGGGAAGAUUGUGAAUAACUAACUAUGAUGCAGCAGCUUGCGGCCCAAAUUAAGGAAACGGCCCACGUUAUUUUGAAUCCUUAUCCUAAUAAUAAUAGACUUUGAGCCAUUUUCCUAAUGUUAGUAGGUUUUGAAUCUUUUUUUUAAUUUAAGUAGGUUUUAAUAUUUUUUUUAUUUUGAAAAAUUUUAAUUAAACAAUCAAUAUUUAAUAUAUUCUUUACUUUUCUUUAUGCUAAUAACUUUUUGAUAAAAAAUUAAUAUUUAAAGAUAUCUUUGAUUGUAGUACUGAAUUGAAUUGAAUCUGAGUUUUUAUCCAAUUUGGAUGAAAAAAAAAGACGCCUGUUUUAGUUAAAAGAAAAAUUUAAAGUGCAUAGACGGAGGUGACUAUGGGGUUAGAUGCUUGAGUUACUUUUGGAAAAUAGAUUUUAACUUUGAUGAUGCGUUUGGUGCAAAUUUGGAAGGUAAGUGACCAUUGUAGUAAUCAGCCAUCCCCGUUGUUUAAAUCAUCGGACGAAAUGAAUAAAAUGACAGAACCUCAUCUCACUUUUUCCUCCGCUGCAGGUUCCUUGUCCUGGUAAAUUAAAUAAAUAAAACAUCUGAGGAAGCGGGAAGAAGAAGAAGGGGGAUUUUAGUUGGUAUGUAUAUUAUUAUCCUGAUUCAUGAUUUUACUCACCGAUUCAUGGUUUUGUUUUGUUCAUGUUUUUUUCCCUAAAUUUGUUGAAAAGAAUUGAUCUUUGGGGCAGGAGCUGGGAAAUAAUAACUUGAUUCCUUUUCCAAUUAGGUGCAAUUCUCAAAUGAUGGAAACUAUUUAUAUACCGGAGGCCGAAAGGUAAACUGAGCUCUCUUUAGAUGAACGCUAGUUGCUUGUUUAAUGCCCCUUUUGAGCAUGUGAUCCUUCUAUAGUUCCUAUUUGUCCAUUUGACCUCUACAUGUAGAUGUUGUAGCUGCUUACUGUUUUGUGAAUUGAUUGCCUAUUGGACACGGGUGUCUGUGAACAACAUGCUUGACAUAUAGUACCAUGCAUAGCCUGACUAUGUCAUUUGCAUUUUUCCAGAAAACUGUGGUUUCUUCCUUUUGGAAAUGGAGAUGAAAUCUCUUCGCAU